rnacentral:rRNA from 1 species
CCCUUAGAUGUUCUGGGCUGCACGCGCGCUACACUGAAGCUAUCAACACGUUUUCCCUCCAUGAGAAGGGCGGGUAACCUUUUGAAUCAGCUUCGUGGUAGGGAUCGGGGCUUGCAAUUGUUCCCCGUGAACCAGGAAUUCCUAGUAGACGCGAGUCAUAAGCUCGCAUCGAUUAAGUCCCUGCCCUUUGUACACACCGCCCGUCGCUACUACCGAUUGAACGUUUUAGUGAGGCAUUUGGACCGACGCAUCUCAGUUUAACCGCUGGUUUGUGUUGGAAAGACUUCCAAACUUGAGCGUUUAGAGGAAGUAAAAGUCGUAACA